rnacentral:lncRNA from 1 species
UCACUAGAAAAAUUACAGUUUGGCCUGUCUCUUAUGCAUUUGUCCCUCACUGUGAUCAGGGUCUUUAUCUCCAUAGGUCUGCUCAGCACAAUGAAGGUGUGAUUGUAGCAUCUUGGCCUGUCUUCAUUUAACUGGCAGAAGUAAUCGCAGCAGUGAGGAUGCAGCAGCACUGGCUAGCAACCAAGUUACAAAGCCUCUAGAGACCUUGUAUACAUACCUCCAGAUGAAAGUCUACUGUUGUCAGGACUGUCACUGGUACUGGAAUGAGUUUUCUCUACCUUUUUUUGGGGUGGCUGUCUGCAGUUUUUCAUGCACAGUGCUACUUGGACCUUCAGUGCCCAAGUGAACAUUCGGAGUGCAGAACAGCCGAAUUGCUUCAAGAGCAAGAAGGUCGUCGGAGCAGGGCACUACAUCAAUUACUUCUGUAUCACGAUGAUGGAUACUGUGAAAACUGAGAGGCAAUGCAGGGAUUUUUUUGCGGUGCUAUUUGGAAACAUUUAAAAACUCCUCUCUGUGUACUUAUUGCUGGUCUGCUGUAUUCAAGCAAUGCUUUUAAACACCAGCAUCCAGCUACACAUGGGGACUGUGUGAACAUUAUUUUAUCCAUUGUGCU